UUUCCAGAAGACUGAGUCAAA
ensembl:piRNA 21ur-7880 ncRNA